UGCAUAUUUCCCGAUCUAAUGGGAACUUCAUGCUCAUAUACCAAGGGAACAUGUUGAAUCGUUGAGAUAUACUCCCCAUU